rnacentral:rRNA from 1 species
GACGAACGCUGGCGGCGUGCUUAACACAUGCAAGUCGAACGUGAUUUUUGUGGAAAUUCUUUCGGGAAUGGAAAUGAAAUGAAAGUGGCGAACGGGUGAGUAACACGUGAGCAACCUACCUUACACAGGGGGAUAGCCGUUGGAAACGACGAUUAAUACCGCAUGAGACCACAGAAUCGCAUGAUAUAGGGGUCAAAGAUUUAUCGGUGUAAGAAGGGCUCGCGUCUGAUUAGCUAGUUGGAAGGGUAAAGGCCUACCAAGGCGACGAUCAGUAGCCGGUCUGAGAGGAUGAACGGCCACAUUGGAACUGAGACACGGUCCAAACUCCUACGGGAGGCAGCAGUGGGGAAUAUUGCACAAUGGGGGGAACCCUGAUGCAGCGACGCCGCGUGAGCGAAGAAGGUUGUCGAAUCGUAAAGCUCCGUCCUAUGAGAAGAUAAUGACGGUACCAUAGGAGGAAGCCCCGGCUAAAUACGUG